rnacentral:rRNA from 1 species
AUUGAACGCUGGCGGCAGGCCUAACACAUGCAAGUCGAGCGGAUGAAGGGAGCUUGCUCCUGGAUUCAGCGGCGGACGGGUGAGUAAUGCCUAGGAAUCUGCCUGGUAGUGGGGGAUAACGUCCGGAAACGGGCGCUAAUACCGCAUACGUCCUGAGGGAGAAAGUGGGGGAUCUUCGGACCUCACGCUAUCAGAUGAGCCUAGGUCGGAUUAGCUAGUUGGUGGGGUAAAGGCCUACCAAGGCGACGAUCCGUAACUGGUCUGAGAGGAUGAUCAGUCACACUGGAACUGGGGAACGGUCCAGACUCCUACGGGAGGCAGCAGUGGGGAAUAUUGGACAAUGGGCGAAAGCCUGAUCCAGCCAUGCCGCGUGUGUGAAGAAGGUCUUCGGAUUGUAAAGCACUUUAAGUUGGGAGGAAGGGCAGUAAGUUAAUACCUUGCUGUUUUGACGUUACCAACAGAAUAAGCACCGGCUAACUUCGUG